rnacentral:rRNA from 1 species
GAUGAACGCUGGCGGCGUGCUUAACACAUGCAAGUCGAACGAAGCACUUUAUUUGAUUUCCUUCGGGACUGAUUAUUUUGUGACUGAGUGGCGGACGGGUGAGUAACGCGUGGGUAACCUGCCUUGAAAGGGGGGUAACUAAUGGAAAAGGGCGGCUACUACGGCAUAGGGGCCAACAGCGCAUGACGGCGGGUGGAAAAACCCGGUGGGAUUAAAAGGACCCGGGUUGGGUUUGGUAGUUGGGGGGGUAACGGCCCACCAAGGCGACGAUCCAUAGCCGACCUGGGAGGGUGACCGGCCACAUUGGGACUGAGACACGGCCCAAACUCCUACGGGAGGCAGCAGUGGGGAAUAUUGCACAAUGGGCGAAAGCCUGAUGCAGCGACGCCGCGUGAGCGAAGAAGUAUUUCGGUAUGUAAAGCUCUAUCAGCAGGGAAGAUAAUGACGGUACCUGACUAAGAAGCACCGGCUAAAUACGUG